rnacentral:rRNA from 1 species
UACGUAGGGGGCAAGCGUUGUCCGGAAUCAUUGGGCGUAAAGCGCGUGUAGGCGGCUCGAUAAGUCUGCUGUGAAAGUCCAGGGCUCAACCCUGGGAUGCCGGUGGAUACUGUCGAGCUCGAGUCCGGAAGAGGCGAGUGGAAUUCCUGGUGUAGCGGUGGAAUGCGCAGAUAUCAGGAGGAACACCAAUGGUGAAGGCAGCUCGCUGGGACGGUACUGACGCUGAGACGCGAAAGCGUGGGGAGCAAACAGG